rnacentral:rRNA from 1 species
AGAGUUUGAUCAUGGCUCAGCCUGAACGCUGGCGGCGUGGCUAAGACAUGCAAGUCGUACGGGUGUAGCAAUACACCAGUGGCGGACGGGUGAGUAAUGUAUCGCUAACGUACCCCGGAUUCUGGGAUAGCUGCCCGAAAGGGCAGGUAAUACCAGAUGAUAUAUCCUUUUCGCAUGAAGAGGAUCUCAAAGGGAAACCGUUCUGGGAGCGGGCGAUAUCGUAUCAGCUAGUUGGUGAGGUAACGGCUCACCAAGGCGACGACGCGUAGCCGGACUGAGAGGUUGGCCGGCCACAUUGGGACUGAGACACUGCCCAGACUCCUACGGGGGGCUGCAGUAACGAAUCUUCCGCAAUGCACGCAAGUGUGACGGAGCGACGCCGCGUGUGGGACGAAGUCCUUCGGGAUGUAAACCACUGUCAGGGGUUAGAAAGUUCUGAUCAACCCCAGAGGAAGGCACGGCUAACUCUGUGCCAGCAGCCGCGGUAAGACAGAGGUGCCAAGCGUUAGGCGGAAUCACUGGGCUUAAAGCGUGUGUAGGUGGACUGGUAAGUACCUUGUGAAAUCCCACGGCUUAACCGUGGAACUGCUUGGUAUACUGCUGGUCUUGAGCAACCUAGGGGCGAGUGGAACAAAUGGUGGAGCGGUGAAAUGCGUAGAUAUCAUUUGGAACGCCAAUGGUGAAAACAACUCGCUGGGGGUUUGCUGACACUGAGACACGAAAGCCAGGGGAGCAAACGGGAUUAGAUACCCCGGUAGUCCUGGNCAUAAACGAUGUCCACUAGAUCGUAGUGCCNCUGACGGUAUUACGGUCGAAGCCGAAGUGCUAAGUGGACCGCCUGGGAAGUACNGUCGCNAGGCUAAAACUCAAAGGNAUUGACGGGGGCU